rnacentral:lncRNA from 1 species
UGAGAAGCAUUUUGGAAAACUGUCUGAUCGAACCUUGCUUCAAAUGUUGCCUACAUAUCCUUGGCUAUAAAGAAAUUAGGUCAGUAUAUUUCUGGAGUGUUUUGGUAGCUGGGACUACUAUGUGUUGUGAUUUCACUACUGAUGCUGCUGCUACUACUUGUUGACCUCCUUAUUACACCAAAAGGAAGAUCAAAAGCUAAGCUAG